AAAAAAAAAAAAAGAAAGAAAGAAAAGAAAAGAAACUGCAGAGGGACACGGCACAGGGCUGAGGGGGAGCUGAGGCUGGGGAGCGCCCCGGCAGGAGAGCCCGGAGGAGAGAUGACGUUUACCUGCACCCUGGAGUGGGACCAGCCAUGCCAGGCAGGCAGACUGCCGCUUCCUCAAGGAGUCACUCUGGGUUGAAACAGAAAGCGGUCAGAAGCAGUUGGUGCUCUCUGUUGGGAUUAGAGCUAAGAAGAAAAGAAGUCCAUACAGUCACUUCUACAGUAUGACAAAAUGUUCCCUCUUGAUCAGUCAUUUUAUGACCCAAGGUCACAGCUCUUGGAAAAUUUUAUUGUAGCUUGACAAACUCUCCGUGUCAACUCCACAUUACAAGAUCUUUCAUUUCUUCAAUUAAACAACUGGAAAUGGAUACCAUCCACGCUGUCUGAUUUAUGAUGUCAAUAAAGCUCAUUAUGGUCACA